GUGCUCGCUUUGGGAGCACCUAGACUAAAAUUGGAACUAUACAGAGAAAAUCAACAUGGUGCCUGUGCAAGGAUGAUAUGAAAAUUUGUGAAGCAUCCCAUAUUUUU